AGAAACCAGCCAAUAAGCAGAAAACCAGGGCUUGCAUCCUCAGCCUCAUCCGGUCAGGGUCGUCCAAGCAAGUCUCUGAAAAUUCAUCAAUCAGGGGCAGCAGAAUCGCCUUCUGAUCAUCCACAAUCAUAGCCCUAGCCUGUGGCCGGCUAAACUGAAACAAGUUCUUAAAUGACUUAACAUACCCAACUUUCACCUCGUGCCUAACCAAGGGAGCAUUGGGGUCACACCCUAUAAUCGCACAAAAUUCCUCAAAAAGAGGGCACAUUUCCUCCAUC
rnacentral:lncRNA from 1 species